rnacentral:lncRNA from 15 species
CUCACUACUCCCCACACUAACCUGCGCCACUAAUCCCGCUCCUUACACAGAGACUUUACUGUGAUUGGCUCGUGAAUUUUAACACAACCAAAGGCAAAACAGGAAUGAAGUGAUUGACAUGUGAUAGGUAACAGGUUAGAUUACACAUGUAAACACGGCUUCUUCCUCUCUUCUUUUCUCUCGGACCACAGAUAUUUUAACAGACUUAAUGAACUUAAAGAACUUUUUAUGAAUUUAUCUCUUCACUGUAAAUAGUCCUAUUUAUUAAACUUUACAUAUUAUAUUUAUUCUUUUAACCGCCACACAUUUUAACCAUUUUUAAAUAUUAUGAACUAUUUAUUUAUUAACUUUUUUAAUACAGCAUAUUAUUAUACUGUUAGAUUAUUUUUUAUGCUCUGUAACUUAUAUGAUUUUUAUACAGGGCUACAUGUGGAUGUGUGGAAACAGGAAAAUUGUGAUCAGACUGCAGCAUCUUACAGGAAGUACAGUCAGUAACUAAUGAUUGUUCAUCUUUUAACAGCUCUGCAGGAUGGAAACACUCUGGUCAAUGCCCAAAACAUUGCCUAUACAGGAACUGAAGGAGGAGCUGUCAUAAUGAAAUGCUCUUUUUCUUAUUAUGGAGGCAGGAAGUUCUUCUGCAAGGGAAGAUGUAAUCAAGAGGACAUUCUCAUUCAAACUACUGGUGUUACAGCUCACAAUGGCAGAUACAGCAUGACAUAUGAAAGAACUUUUACAGGAGGAAAUGUUUUUGUGACCAUCACACAGCUGACCAAGUCAGACUCUGGACUGUACAGGUGUGUUUUGGGAGAUUAUUACCAGCAGAUUGAAAUCAUCGUUGUAGAUGUACUGCUGGAUGGAAAUCCUCCUGUAAGAACCCUCUAUCCAAGACCUGGAGGAAGUAUCACAGUUGAAUGCUUCUUUACUGUCUCUGGAAGCAGGAAGUACUUCUGUAAGGACGACUGUAAAGAAAAAUAUAUUCUUGUUGAAACAACUGGUGACAGAGGUCAGAAAGGCAGAUACAGAAUUAGAUAUUUAAGAGGAUUUCCUACAGGAGGAUUUGUGUAUGUGAGCAUCACACAGCUGACCCAGUCUGACUCA